GCCUCCGUAGCUCAGUGGUAGAGCAUCGCUCUCAUGAGGCGAGGGUCCCGAGUUCAAAUCUCGGCGGAGGCA
rnacentral:tRNA from 1 species